CUUUGAGCCAUAACAUAGUAUUUGGCAACGAUCAACCCACCUUCGUCACAGCAGGUUGCAGAGAUGACAUAACUUUGCACUGUACUUUCCUUCAAAACUGUCAGAACUACACCUCUAUUACGUGGUACAAGGUGAGCCAUGUCCAUUGAUCAAAUCUCAGAUGACCACUGAAGCCAUGUUCUGUUUGUCAUGUUUACGUCAUUCUGACUUUCUCAAACAUUUGGUGAUGCUGAUUUGACGAACACCUCGCAUAUGUUCAAGUGUCUGCAGACAUGACCGCAUGGCUUGAGUUAAAAUCAGUUUAUGGUUUAUUUAUACAAUGCAUUUAACGUUUAAAAACCCGUGACGCGGAGCAGUGUAAUGGAGAAAACAAAAGAAAAAAGAAUGGGGGAAAAAAAAAAAAAACACUUGUGCUUUUUUAGCACAAACACUUUUUAGAAGCAAAAGACGCAAGACCCGCGCUCAACGAUCAAACACCUGUGUCUGGUUUACAUAAAAGCAAUGGAAAAGCAGCGUAGUGGAAUCUAAAAUGCGUUCUAUGUGAACGGUUUUUAAUGUCUUUGGCUUUAAGCAGGAAACAUGCUGACACACAUUAUUUUCCUGUACACUCAUUCCUCUUAAUUCUUUAUUCACAUCCAAUUUUACAAACAUUUCCAUAUAAAAAUAAUUAGUAUUAAUAAUAAAAAAACUUUUAUAAAUAUGUAUAACAAUAAUGAUAGUAGUAAUUAUAAUAAUUUACUUAUUUUAAUUAACUAUUAAAUCAAAUUAAAUUAAUGAAUUUAUGUGGUCACAUUUAAAAUGAAUGUAAAUUUGACUAUGUAAUCUGAGUGCAUGAAUGAUCUCAAAGAUUUCUUAAAUUAGUGAAUGUGAUCACAAAAGAAGCGUAUUUUAGUAGUAUGUGCUCUCAACACAGUAAAUGACAACUUCACAACUCGACUCUUAUAUUUAAAGGAAAGGAAGUUGAGGCGCAAUUAAUUUUCAUGACCUUUUUGCUGCAAUCCGCAGUUAUAUGUACUCACUGUUAUUUUUUUUUUUCUUUUUAUCUUCUUUUUUUUAUUUAUUUAUUUAUUUUUAAGAUCAACAAUAACAGCAGUGAUGGAUCUACAAUGCAAAUCCUCAAAAAGUCAGAAAAUGGCAUCCAGACUGACAAACACAACCAUUCUGUGUUGCUGGAUAAAAACACAGCUUUGGUCUUAAGGACAGUUGCUCCUGCUGAUUCUGGGGUAUACACGUGUUUAAUUAAAGCCAAAGCUGGAGGAAAGAACUGUCAAAAUGGGGUUAGACUUAAUAUCUCAGAUUGUGUAUCAACAGCUUCACCCAUCAUCUUUGAUUUCUCCACCAAGUUUAUUAAUGGAUCAUGGCCAAACAUUAGCAUCCCAUUGCCUCAUGUGAAUGACUAUUCAGUGCUUUUUGUCCUGUGGGGUUGUAUAGGACUCGCUUUGAGUAAACUCAUCCUCAGUGCCGUUUCCAUAUGUGUAAGUAUUUCUAAAUGUACCAGAUUUAUCUCCUAUAUUCUGAGCAUUUUAUUUGAAUUAUUAGAAGUUAUGGUAUAG
ensembl:lncRNA